GACGAACGCUGGCGGCGUGCCUAAUACAUGCAAGUUGAGCGAUGAAGAUUGGUGCUUGCACCAAUUUGAAGAGCAGCGAACGGGUGAGUAACGCGUGGGGAAUCUGCCUUUGAGCGGGGGACAACAUUUGGAAACGAAUGCUAAUACCGCAUAAUAACUUUAAACAUAAGUUUUAAGUUUGAAAGAUGCAAUUGCAUCACUCAAAGAUGAUCCCGCGUUGUAUUAGCUAGUUGGUGAGGUAAAGGCUCACCAAGGCGAUGAUACAUAGCCGACCUGAGAGGGUGAUCGGCCACAUUGGGACUGAGACACGGCCCAAACUCCUACGGGAGGCAGCAAUAGGGAAUCUUCGGCAAUGGACGAAAGUCUGACCGAGCAACGCCGCGUGAGUGAAGAAGGUUUUCGGAUCGUAAAACUCUGUUGGUAGAGAAGAACGUUGGUGAGAGUGGAAAGCUCAUCAAGUGACGGUAACUACCCAGAAAGGGACGGCUAACUACGUG
rnacentral:rRNA from 1 species